rnacentral:lncRNA from 1 species
UCUUCAGCUUUCAACAUCAAGAUAGCUUAUAUCCAUAUCCUAAUCCUUAUUCCAUUAAGGACUACUCUCCUCUCCUAUCGAGGAUUAUGAGUACAUGCCAAUACAAUACAUUAACUCCAUGUGCUUGGUCCCGGUCUGCUUUCCUAGCUCUCUUCCUAUUCAUUAAUCUUUGACCUCCGUAUAGAUUCUCGCUAAGCCCCGAUGCUAUCCCUAACAUACUGCAACAUCCCCGAACACUGGUACACCUCUAAAUACGCAUCCCAAAAUUAUGUCACUUCAUAUCAUUCCAAACUCCAACCCCAGCUGGUCUCCAUGCAGGUUCACACUGUCGAGAGAUAUUAACACUACCACAU